CCUACGGGGGGCUGCAGUGGGGAAUUUUGGACAAUGGGCGAAAGCCUGAUCCAGCCAUGCCGCGUGCGGGAAGAAGGCCUUCGGGUUGUAAACCGCUUUUGUCAGGGAAGAAAAGCGCCAGGCUAAUACCUUGGCGUCAUGACGGUACCUGAAGAAUAAGCACCGGCUAACUACGUGCCAGCAGCCGCGGUAAUACGUAGGGUGCAAGCGUUAAUCGGAAUUACUGGGCGUAGACCGUGCGCAGAGAUUCGAAAGCCCCGGGCUCAACCUGGGAACUGCAUUGGUGACUGCACGGCUUGAGUGCGGCAGAGGGGAAUGGAAUUCCGCAUGUAGCAGUGAAAUGCGUAGAUAUGCGGAGGAACACCGAUGGCGAAGGCAAUUCCCUGGGCCUGCACUGACGCUCAUGCACGAAAGCGUGGGGAGCAAACAGGAUUAGAUACCCCUGUAGUC
rnacentral:rRNA from 1 species